UGAUUUUGUCUGAAGUCAAACUUUUUUAAGUUUGACCAAAUUUAUAUAAAAGAUUAUUAAUUUUUAUGAUACCAAAUAAGCAUACUAUGAAAAUAUAUUUCAGCAUGAAUCUAAUGAUACUUAUUUGGUUUCAUAAAAAUAGUAAUUUUUUAUAUAAAUUUGGUCAAACUUAAGAAAGUUUGACUUUAGAUAAAACCAA
rnacentral:pre_miRNA from 1 species